AUGAAACGCGCCCUCUGGGGGUUGUGCUGGCGCUCCGGCGCAACGUGCACGCCCCCUCCGGCGUUCAGACCCCUUCACACCUGUGCACGAACCCGUCGGACGGGAGCGGUGCGUCAUGCGCGCCCUCCGGUCUGGCCCUUCACAUCAGCUUAUUACCGUACGUCGAAUGCAUCACUGCGCACGCGCAACCGAAAUA
rnacentral:misc_RNA from 1 species